GCCUGGGUGGCUUGGUCGGUUAAGCGUCUGACUUCAGCUCAGGUGAUGAUCUCACAGCUCGUGAGUUCGAGCCCCGCGUCAGGCU
rnacentral:tRNA from 1 species